rnacentral:rRNA from 1 species
UACAGAGGUCCCAAGCGUUGUUCGGAUUCACUGGGCGUAAAGGGUGCGUAGGCGGUCGGGUAAGUCUGAUGUGAAAUCUCACAGCUUAACUGUGAAACUGCAUUGGAUACUAUCCGGCUCGAGGAAUGGAGGGGAGACUGGAAUUUACGGUGUAGCAGUGAAAUGCGUAGAGAUCGUAAGGAAGACCAGUGGCGAAGGCGGGUCUCUGGACAGUUCCUGACACUGAGGCACGAAGGCCAGGGGAGCAAACGGG